rnacentral:rRNA from 1 species
GAUGAACGCUGGCGGCGUGCUUAACACAUGCAAGUCGAACGGAAGGGCGCUGCUCUUGCGGGGUGCUCGAGUGGCGAAGGGGUGAGUAACACGUGAGUAUCCUGCCCUUGACUGUGGGAUAACUCCAGGAAACUGGGGCUAAUACCGGAUAGGAGCUCCUGCAGCAUGGUGGGGGAUGGAAAGUGUCGGUUGUAGGGGAUGGAUUGGCGGCUUAUCAGCUUGUUGGUGGGGUAGUGGCUUACCAAGGCUUUGACGGGUAGCCGGCAUGAGAGGGUGGCCAGGCACCUGACGACUGAGGGACGGAGCAGUCGGCAACGGGAGGCAGCAGGGGGGAAUAUGACACAGCGAGCGGGCGCCUGAUACGAAGGCGCUCGGUGCGGGAUGACCGCCUUCGGGUUAUGAACCGCUUUCGCCUGUGACGAAGCGUGAGUGACGGUAAUGGAUAAAGAAGCACCGGCUAACUACGUG